rnacentral:lncRNA from 1 species
UAAAGUUAUUAAUCCAUAUCUGUACAGAAAGUAAACAAUAUGUUAUUUGUAAGCCUACACAAAAUGACCUUCAACAAUAUCGUAAUAGACGAUAACGGAGAAAGAAAAGGGAGAGAGAAAACCUAGGUUCAAAAUAUGUAAAAAAAAAAAAAAAAAAAAAAAAAAAAAAAAAAGGAAAAUCAAAAACAAGACGUCGAACAAGUAUCAACAAAACAGUUAAAAACAUUCAAACAAACCCCAAUUUACCUUGACCGUUAACAUGUACUCUCGGGAAGGAUUAGUUAUUGCCUGUCCCAAUCAUGUCGGAGGCACAGUGAUAAAACACCCAAAAAAAAUCCAUAAGACUGGAAAGUAAAACGAGGAAACGGUAUAGCUUUAGUAUAUUGAAGAUGAUUUACUUCAACAAUCUAAAAUCGUCUUCAGUUAAAUGUUCUCUGUGAAAAGCUCGUAGAGUAUACAGAGGUCAUUGUCUCUCUAUGUAAUUAUAUGUUUAUACAAGGAGGUCUUUGUUCGAAGACGUUGUUAAUGAUAAUAAAAGAGGAUAUGGGGA